UGGGACUGAGACACGGCCCAGACUCCUACGGGAGGCAGCAGUGGGGAAUAUUGCGCAAUGGGCGGAAGCCUGACGCAGCGACGCCGCGUGGGGGAUGACGGCCUUCGGGUUGUAAACCUCUUUCGCCAGGGACGAAGAGUGAUUGACGGUACCUGGAGAAGAAGCACCGGCCAACUACGUGCCAGCAGCCGCGGUAACACGUAGGGUGCGAGCGUUGUCCGGAAUUAUUGGGCGUAAAGAGCUCGUAGGCGGUGUGUCGCGUCGGCCGUGAAAACUUGGGGCUUAACUCUGAGCGUGCGGUCGAUACGGGCAUCACUUGAGUUCGGCAGGGGAGACUGGAAUUCCUGGUGUAGCGGUGAAAUGCGCAGAUAUCAGGAGGAACACCGGUGGYGAAGGYGGGUCUCUGGGCCGAUACUGACGCUGAGGAGCGAAAGCGUGGGGAGCGAACAGGAUUAGAUACCCUGGUAGUCCACGCCGUAAACGUUGGGCGCUAGGUGUGGGGACCAUUCCACG
rnacentral:rRNA from 4 species